CUGGUGUGCAACUGAAGGGAGGAGGGAGCAGGCGUUCCUCUGCUGCUGAAGAGGGCUGUGGAAACUUAAGUCAUAGACAUGCUUCAGUGAGAGGAUGAGGAUUUGCCCAGAUGGGAAGCUUCAAGUGCAGAGGCACUUGUACAUCUACUUAUCUUGAGUCUCAAUGAUGCUGUUUAUGAGUGAGCUAUUCAAAUGGAGGAAGAAACCCACGGAGAAGGAGAAAUAACAGGUCGGAGUGAUUAUGUACAGAAGGAUAGGCUCUAGCAGGAGUCCAGUGGGAAAGAAGGAAGGGAAUACAAUUAAGAAUUAUUAAUGGCAGAUCUCUAAUGAUUUCACUGGAUCCAAAGGAACAGGGCAAUACUGAGUAAGAAACACUUGAUAUACGAAAAAAGCGUGAGUGCGAAGGAAAAUACAUCAUUCUACAGAUGUUGACGGACUCUGACGGUGGGAAAGCGUCCCUCAAGAUUGAAUUGGAGUAGAAGCUGACCCUCCCACUUGCCCAGAGAUCCCCUAGCUGCUUUCCUGAUCAAUUUCAUCACACAAGCUGGCAGCUAUGGGCAGUGAGGGAAGGAAGGGGCAAUCUCCUCACUAGACAGCCGUGCCAAGGUCACCCUGGUCCAUCCAUGAGGUUUCAACACACAUGGGAACAAGAUAUAUUCAUGGAAUGUGCCUUUGAACCUGCAUUCAAAAGAACUCAGACAGAGUAGGAGAAUGGACCAGAUGACCUCUAUAGGUGUCUCUCCACAGGCAGAAAAAUCAAACGCCCAGAGAGGUCAAGAUGUCUGCAAAGAGACACAGAGUGAUGCAAUGGAAAUCCUGUGUGGAGGUCUCCAGAAGGCUAAUUUCUGAAGCAGUGUUCUAUCCACAUGACCGUGCUGCUGCUCAUUAAGAUGGUACCUCUCAUUAAGAUAAAGCAUAAUCAUUAAAAAUCCUUUAGCUUGCUCACAUUAACUACCAUUGUGCGUCACAGGUCUAAUGCUUCAUGAAAGCUCAGAGUGAAUUAGACAUUUUAUUUAAGUGCUACUUAACUAAAAGUUAAAAAGUAUAAUUUUCUAUUGCAGCAUAAGAACUGGAGAGACUAAUUUGGUGUGGUUGUUAAAUUUUACAAAGCCUGAUUCUCAAUUUUCAAAAAAUAUUGUACAUUUAUUUAUUGAAGUGAAUGAAACAUUUGCUAUAAAACUAUUCAACGGAAAGUUUUUUAACAAAGCAUAAUUUACUUUUCAUUUACAGAACAAUGGAAAGUAGAAAGAAAUCUCCUCCAAGGUAUUAGAAUCAUGUACAGUUUCAUAUUUGACUAAAAAAUUAUUUCCCCAGCCUGUUUUCUCAACACUAAGGAUAUGCAGAAAAGUAUCACUUGCAUUCAUCAUGAAAAUUACAGAAAAAUGACUGAAACUACUGAGAACAUUAUUAAAUAAAACAUAUACUUAUUAUCUGU
rnacentral:lncRNA from 1 species